rnacentral:rRNA from 1 species
AUUGAACGCUGGCGGCAGGCCUAACACAUGCAAGUCGAGCGGUAGAGAGGUGCUUGCAUCUCUUGAGAGCGGCGGACGGGUGAGUAAUGCCUAGGAAUCUGCCUAGUGGUGGGGGAUAACGUUCGGAAACGGACGCUAAUACCGCAUACGUCCUACGGGAGAAAGCGGGGGAUCUUCGGACCUCGCGCCAUUAGAUGAGCCUAGGUCGGAUUAGCUAGUUGGUGAGGUAAUGGCUCACCAAGGCGACGAUCCGUAACUGGUCUGAGAGGAUGAUCAGUCACACUGGAACUGAGACACGGUCCAGACUCCUACGGGAGGCAGCAGUGGGGAAUAUUGGACAAUGGGCGAAAGACCUGAUCCAGCCAUGCCGCGUGUGUGAAGAAGGUCUUCGGA